AUUAAUUUAAAUAUUAGAAUAAUUUAUGUAAUGUGUCGUCAAAAUGACUUAACAUCCUUCAUCACACAAUUUGAAAGUUGUUAUGAGUACUUCAAUAUUUUCAGUGUCAUUGUCAUUGUUUUUUUAUCUCAGUGAAGUUCCGACAUUCGACUUGGAAAGUGCCAUUUGGUUAUUUUGUUACCCUAAGUGUAUGGAUCAUAAUUUACGGCCCAAAUGAAAGAAAUAGAUGAAGAAGAAGAUUAUAUAUGUCUGCUCUUAAAACUCGUGAAUAUGUUGAAGAUAAUAAUUUGUUGAUUUUGCUCCAAUGAUCCAUAAUGAAGAUGAACUUCCCCUUUCAGUUAGUGUGAAGGAAAAUGCAUCCAUCUCUAGUCCAUUUUCAAUCUUUACUAAUCAUUGUGUUUGUCUCUCUUUCAAUUAGCUUAACAUUUUUUUUGUUUGGUUUGUUGAUUUCCUCUUUCUUCUUAGGAUUGUAUUGUUUGCAUGUUUUUAGAAUAAGUUUUUCUUGCUUUAAACUCAUACCGAUUAAUUUUAAGUUUGUG
rnacentral:lncRNA from 1 species